AAAGUCAAAAUUCCCGGCCGGAGUCGCCUCUCCUAGAAAAGAUUCUCCUCGAAAAUGGCCAAGAGGUCGCUCUGGAAGUUCAUGUCGAUCGUCGCCGCCAUCUGCAAACAAAAACAUUUAAAAAAAAAAACCAAAAAAUUGGGAACAAAAUUUUCCCAAAUUUUUUAAAGAUUUUUUUUGGGGCAUUUCCAGAUUUUUUUGGGGGGAUUUUUGGCUUUUUUUGGAGUAAUUUUUGGCUAUUUUUAUUUCAUUUUUUUGAGUCAUUUUGGGCUUUUUUUAGGGUCAUUUUUGGCUUUUUUUGGGGUCACUUUUGGGCACUUUUUGGGUCAUUUCCAGAUUUUUUUGGGCUUUUUGGGGAUUUUUUGGGGCCAUUUUUGGCUUUUUUUUAUUGCAUUUUUUGAGUCAUUUCGGGUUUUUUUGGGCUUUUUUUAGGGUCAUUUAUUUUCCCAGUUUUUUUAGGGUCAUUUUUGGCUUUUUAGGGUCAUUUUUGGCCUUUUUUUUGUAUUUUUGGGGGUAAUUUUGGCUUUUUUGGGGAUUUUUUGGGGCCCUUUUUGGGUCAUUUCUGGCUUUUUUUGGAGGGUAAUUUUUGGCUUUUUUGGGGCUUCCUUCAGGGACUUUUUGAGGCUUUUUGGGGUUUUUUUUAGGGUCAUUUCUGGAUUUUUUCCUUGGGGUCAUUUCUGGGUUUUUUUGGGUCAUUUCUGGAAUUUUUGGGUCUUUUUUGGGACCAUACAAGAAUUUCCCCCAGUUUUUGUGCCCUUUUUCCCACCAAUAUUUUGAUUAUUCCCCCAUUUCUGGGCCCCCUUUUUCAGAAAUAUUCUGAUUAUUUCCCCAAUUUUGGGGACCAUUUUUGGUAUUUUUUGGGGACCAUCCUGACGUUUUCCCCCCAUUUUUUGUGCCCCCUUUUCCCAGCAAUAUUUUGAUUAUUCCCCCAUUUUUUGUGCCCCCUUUUCCCAGCAAUAUUUUGAUUAUUCCCCAUAAUUUUGUGCCCCUUUUCCCAGCAAUAUUUUGAUUAUUCCCCCAUAAUUUUGUGCCCCCUUUUCCCAGCAAUAUU
rnacentral:lncRNA from 1 species